CACACACACACACACACACACACACUCCCAUCGGAUGCUUUGGCACAUUCACAGUGCAUUUGUGGUGCAUAUAAAUGUACCCAGAAUGCAAACGUGUUUUUAAGCUGUUGCCUUCCGCUCUCGGUGUUUUUAUUCCCUUCCUCUGUCGCCUUAAGUUUCCUUUUCUAUUUCUAAAGACGUUUAAGGUGCAAACACCUUUGAAACCAGUACUGGAAAGGCCUCAGACCUGAGUCUGCGUUCUCCUCGUGGCUUCACCAGGCAAUGCCUCCUGGCCCCUUUGUGGGCAUCUUCUGCGCUCACCUUGGGGUGACCUCCACCGCAGGUGCUGGGACUCUGGACUUCUCCACCACGGGGGUCUCUGUUGGUCUAUGGCUUCUCAUCCACUGCCCUGCUGUGCCCGGAGCUGUCCGCCCCCACAGGGAAGGAAGGGUCCUCGAUGCCUGGCCAGCCACCUCUCAGCCUCCUG